CCUUCGAUAGAGCGGAGGACUGUAGGUGGGAUGAUGGUAAUCCUUAGGUCGCUGGUUCGACUCCGGCUCGAAGGA
rnacentral:tRNA from 1 species